rnacentral:rRNA from 1 species
UGGGGAAUUUUGGACAAUGGGCGCAAGCCUGAUCCAGCAAUGCCGCGCGCAGGAUGAAGGCCUUCGGGUUGUAAACUGCUUUUGUACGGAGCGAAAAGGUCUGCCCUAAUACGGUGGGCUCGUGACGGUACCGUAAGAAUAAGCACCGGCUAACUACGUGCCAGCAGCCGCGGUAAUACGUAGGGUGCGAGCGUUAAUCGGAAUUACUGGGCGUAAAGCGUGCGCAGGCGGUUAUAUAAGACAGAUGUGAAAUCCCCGGGCUCAACCUGGGACCUGCAUUUGUGAAUGUAUAGCUAGAGUACGGUAGAGGGGGAUGGAAUUCCGCGUGUAGCAGUGAAAUGCGUAGAUAUGCGGAGGAACACCGAUGGCGAAGGCAAUCCCCUGGACCUGUACUGACGCUCAUGCACGAAAGCGUGGGGAGCAAACA